GAAAUAAACUUAUAUGAACUUCUAAUUCAUUAUUAAUAGUUUAAUCUAUUUUAUUUCU
rnacentral:tRNA from 1 species